GUAGGUGGCAAGCGUUGUCCGGAAUUAUUGGGCGUAAAGCGCGCGCAGGCGGUUCUUUAAGUCUGAUGUGAAAGCCCACGGCUCAACCGUGGAGGGUCAUUGGAAACUGGAGAACUUGAGUACAGAAGAGGAAAGCGGAAUUCCACGUGUAGCGGUGAAAUGCGUAGAGAUGUGGAGGAACACCAGUGGCGAAGGCGGCUUUUCUGGUCUGUAACUGACGCUGAGGCGCGAAAGCGUGGGGAGCAAACAGGGAUUAGAUACCCUGGUAGUCCACGCCGUAAACGAUGAGUGCUAAGUGUUAGGGGGUUUCCGCCCCCCUUAGUGCUGCAGCUAACGCAUUAAGCACCCCCGCCUGGGGAGUACGGCCGCAAGGCUG
rnacentral:rRNA from 1 species